rnacentral:rRNA from 1 species
AAAGCGAGCGGCGGAUGGGUGAGUAACACGUGGGGAACCUGCCCCUAAGUCUGGGAUACCAUUUGGAAACAGGUGCUAAUACCGGAUAAUAAAGCAGAUCGCAUGAUCAGCUUUUGAAAGGCGGCGUAAGCUGUCGCUAAGGGAUGGCCCCGCGGUGCAUUAGCUAGUUGGUAAGGUAACGGCUUACCAAGGCGACGAUGCAUAGCCGAGUUGAGAGACUGAUCGGCCACAUUGGGACUGAGACACGGCCCAAACUCCUACGGGAGGCAGCAGUAGGGAAUCUUCCACAAUGGACGCAAGUCUGAUGGAGCAACGCCGCGUGAGUGAAGAAGGUUUUCGGAUCGUAAAGCUCUGUUGUUGGUGAAGAAGGAUAGAGGUAGUAACUGGCCUUUAUUUGACGGUAAUCAACCAGAAAGUCACGGCUAACUACGUGCCAGCAGCCGCGGUAAUGCGUAGGUGGCAAGCGUUGUCCGGAUUUAUUGGGCGUAAAGCGAGCGCAGGCGGAAAAAUAAGUCUAAUGUGAAAGCCCUCGGCUUAACCGAGGAACUGCAUCGGAAACUGUUUUUCUUGAGUGCAGAANAGGAGAGUGGAACUCCAUGUGUAGCGGUGGAAUGCGUAGAUAUAUGGAAGAACACCAGUGGCGAAGGCGGCUCUCUGGUCUGCAACUGACGCUGAGGCUCGAAAGCAUGGGUAGCGAACAGGAUUAGAUACCCUGGUAGUCCAUGCCGUAAACGAUGAGUGCUAAGUGUUGGGAGGUUUCCGCCUCUCA